rnacentral:siRNA from 1 species
UUUAUCGGCUCGUGUUAAAGAUGG